UACGUAGGCAGCGAGCGUUGUUCGGAGUUACUGGGCGUAAAGAGUGCGCAGGCGGUUUUCUAAGUUUGGUGUGAAAUCUCCCGGCUUAACUGGGAGGGUGCGCCGAAGACUGGAAGGCUUGAGUAUGGGAGAGGUAAGCGGAAUUCCUGGUGUAGCGGUGAAAUGCGUAGAUAUCAGGAGGAACACCUGCGGUGUAGACGGCUUACUGGACCAUCACUGACGCUGAGGCACGAAAGCGUGGGUAGCAAACAGG
rnacentral:rRNA from 1 species